GCCUGGAUGGCUCAGUUGGUUAGAGCGCAGGUCUCAUAUGUCAAGUAUGACCACCCCAGCGGUGGGCAAUCCUGAGGUCGUGAGUUCGAUCCUCACUCCGGGCA